GACGAACGCUGGCGGCGUGCUUAACACAUGCAAGUCGAACGGAAAGGCCCUGCUUUUGUGGGGUGCUCGAGUGGCGAACGGGUGAGUAACACGUGAGUAACCUGCCCUUGACUUUGGGAUAACUUCAGGAAACUGGGGCUAAUACCGGAUAGGAGCUCCUGCUGCAUGGUGGGGGUUGGAAAGUUUCGGCGGUUGGGGAUGGACUCGCGGCUUAUCAGCUUGUUGGUGGGGUAGUGGCUUACCAAGGCUUUGACGGGUAGCCGGCCUGAGAGGGUGACCGGCCACAUUGGGACUGAGAUACGGCCCAGACUCCUACGGGAGGCAGCAGUGGGGAAUAGUGCACAAUGGGCGGAAGCCUGAUGCAGCAACGCCGCGUGGGGGAUGACGGCCUUCGGGUUGUAAACCGCUUUCGCCUGUGACGAAGCGUGAGUGACGGUAAUGGGUAAAGAAGCACCGGCUAACUACGUG
rnacentral:rRNA from 1 species